UCCCCAGUGGCUCAGAUGGUAAAGAAUCUGCCUGCAAUUCAGGAGACCUGGGUUCAAUCCCCAGGUGGGGAA
rnacentral:tRNA from 1 species